GUUUGAUCCUGGCUCAGGACGAACGCUGGCGGCGUGCUUAACACAUGCAAGUCGAACGGUGAAGGAGAGCUUGCUCUCCGGAUCAGUGGCGAACGGGUGAGUAACACGUGAGCAAUCUACCCUUGACUCUGGGAUAACAGUUGGAAACAGCUGCUAAUACCGGAUACGACCCCAGCAGGCAUCUGCUGGGGUGGAAAGCUCCGACGGUCAAGGAUGGGCUCGCGGCCUAUCAGCUUGUUGGUGGGGUAACGGCCCACCAAGGCGACGACGGGUAGCCGGCCUGAGAGGGCGACCGGCCACACUGGGACUGAGAUACGGCCCAGACUCCUACGGGAGGCAGCAGUGGGGAAUAUUGCACAAUGGGCGAAAGCCUGAUGCAGCAACGCCGCGUGCGGGAUGACGGCCU
rnacentral:rRNA from 1 species